GGUGGUGGGGACCAGGGAUAUGGGAGUGGCCGGUAUGACAGUCGACCUGGAGGUUAUGGAUAUGGAUACGGACGGUCCCGAGACUAUAGUGGCAGAAGCCAGGGUGGCUAUGACCGCUACUCAGGAGGAAAUUAUCGAGACAAUUAUGACAACUGAGUUGAGGCAUGCACACGUUAAGUAGAUACACAAGGAAUAACACUUCUGAUCCAGGAUCGUCCUUCCAAAUCGCUGUAUUUAUAAAGAUUUUUGGAGCUGCGCUGAAACAUCUGUUUUA
ensembl:lncRNA